AGCUUUAUAGUCAUAUGUAAUGAUAUUAGACUGCAAUUCUAAAGGAGUAGAAAAUCUACUAAGGCUU
rnacentral:tRNA from 1 species